UACGAGGGGGGCAAGCGUUGUUCGGAAUUAUUGGGCGUAAAGGGCGCGUAGGCGGUGCGGUAAGUCACCUGUGAAACCUCUAGGCUCAACCUAGAGCCUGCAGGCGAAACUGCCGUGCUUGAGGACUGGAGAGGAGACUGGAAUUUACGGUGUAGCGGUGAAAUGCGUAGAUAUCGUAAGGAAGACCAGUGGCGAAGGCGGGUCUCUGGACAGUUCCUGACGCUGAGGCACGAAGGUCAGGGGAGCAAACGGG
rnacentral:rRNA from 1 species